AACAAGGCGUACCUGCGGACCUGCGGAGGGAUCAUUAACGAGUGUGACCUACCCUUUUAAAAAAUGGGUGGUACCUCCCGUCCUUUGCGGGCCCCCUUCUUUUAUUAAGGGGGGGGCUUUUAAGACUUUCUGCUUCGGCGGGGUUAUUCCCGCCGGAACACCUUCAAAAAACUCUUGAUCAAAAAACUGUUCAGUCCGAGAAUUUUUGAAAAUUAAAACAAAACUUUCAACAAUGGAUCU
rnacentral:misc_RNA from 1 species